GACGAACGCUGGCGGCGUGCUUAACACAUGCAAGUCGAGCGGUAAGGCCCUUUCGGGGGUACACGAGCGGCGAACGGGUGAGUAACACGUGGGCGACCUACCCUCAGCUUCGGGAUAAGCCUGGGAAACUGGGUCUAAUACCGGAUAUGACCUUCCCUCGCAUGGGGGUUGGUGGAAAGUUUUUUUCGGCUGGGGAUGGGCCCGCGGCCUAUCAGCUUGUUGGUGGGGUGAUGGCCUACUAAGGCGACGACGGGGUAGCCGGCCUGAGAGGGCGACCGGCCACACUGGGACUGAGAUACGGCCCAGACUCCUACGGGAGGCAGCAGUGGGGAAUAUUGCGCAAUGGGCGGAAGCCUGACGCAGCGACGCCGCGUGGGGGAUGACGGCCU
rnacentral:rRNA from 1 species